ensembl:lncRNA
GAAGCAAAUCUAGUGUGUUCUGGUGGUGGUUCUUUUCUGUGUUGGCCAUUAAAGAGGAAGAACUAUGAGAACAGGAGAUAAGACAUUCCCUUUACUGUUCUCUAUGGAAGUAGAGUGACCUUAACAGUGCCCAUGGCGCCUAAAGGCCAUCUCGCCUCUCACCAGACUUCUGUUCUCCGCCUCACACAUUGCCCGCUGCGUAACUGCAUCCUGCUCUCCUUCUGCCAGGCCAUCGCAUGCCUUCCCUUCGACGAGAAAUACCCUUCAUAACUCACUCACCUUGCUUCCCUGGCCUUCACGUCCUGGGAUCAACAUCAGUCCUGGGAUCAACAUCACUUUCUCAGGAAACCUUUCCCGGGCACACCAGGUUGACAUGAGAAUCUCACUGCACAUCUUGAUCGAGACCAGGAGCGAGGAUACACAGCCAGUGCUUCACGAGUGGUGAGUAAACAAUACAUAUUGGCUGCUGCUAACGCUGCGGUUGCUGUCCUUGUUUAGCCGUUCAGGAAUUGCUUGACUUUUGACUAAUUUAUCUAAGACCUCUGUGGCUCAGUUUCGUGGUCUCAGAAGAAUGAGGCUGUGAGACCCUGUUACGCAACUAGCUGCAUUUCACUGGACACAAAUAAAGGUAAUGUCUACAAAGCCACAUGGACAAGGAGUGCACAAAUACGAAGUACUCACAUUAGUGAUAGUAGCACAGAGCUAUACAUCUUAGUUAUCAAACGUUAGAAAUAUGCUUUGCACAUAUCAAGGAUUACACAUUAUAAAAAAAAAAGCUGGUCCAAGUAGUUCACAAAUAAUUGUGUCGAGUAUCACUCUUGUCUGGGAACUGGCUGUUCCCCCUCAAUCUGACUCUAAGAGUAUUCUCUCGGCAGCUCUAGAUGAUUAAGGUUGAGUGAAAGUCAGUACAUUUUCAAUGCAGAAUAUUCCAAUCAGGGAGCGCAAAAGCUCGCCUCACCUGUGCACAGCAAGGGCCACACGGGGUCUGGGGUCAGUGAUGACUGAGGACGGGGAGAUUUAUUCCCCUUCAGGGGGUAAGACGUCCCUGGGUCAGAUGCCAUAUGGACCUACUGACAUUGGAAAAUGUAGCUCUUUUUCUUUCCUUCUUUUCUCUCUCUCUCUCUCUCUUUUUUCCACACAGCUUUGUCUUCUCUGGCAUUGAAGUGUUAUAUUCAUUUCCCUGAAGAAGCAACAGGGAAAUGAACUGUAGCAAAUGCUGUUUAUUUCUGGAAUGAACACCCUCCAGUCCUAGAGAAUGGCCUGGGAUUAGAGAAAUCACUGAUAUUCUUAAAAGAACUCAUCUCCCCACUGAACAAAGGAGUAGAAAACAUAAUGGCUGUUGUAAACAACAAUUAGGAUUUUAAAAAUUGCCUUAUUGAAAUGGUUUGAGUUCUUUGCAGAGAUAACACACAAAUUUUGACUAAAUAAACCCAUAGAAAUAAAAGUGCUUCUAAAAGAUAUUAAAUGAAAAACCUGAGAAAAGGCUAAUUUCACAUUCUUUAGAUGGCAUCCUAGAGCAAAUGGUUAUAUGUUUUAAAUUGAUUUUUGAUGAGAACCCUGAGGCAUAAAUCCAAUUAAGAUAUACAGGGAUGUAUUUAUAAAAUCAAAUAAAUUUACUUAAUAGUUUAUUAAAAUAAGAAGCUGUUCUGGAAUUUAAAAUGUGAAUAUACAGAAAUGAAUAGCUAACCCAAUUAUGAAUUGCUUAAACUAUUUUUAUAAUAACGCUAUUGUUUGUCAUUUUUACGGAAUGCUGGUACAUCUGCAAAUAGUUCAGUUAUAAUUAAAAGUAUUCUACGAAACAUGCAUCAUGAAGAUAUGGCCAAAUAAGUGCCCUUUUUUCUCAGCAGCUGAAUUUGUUACCUUUUUGCAGGUGUGAGUGUAGUACCAUUGGUUUAUUUUUAAAGAGCAGUGACAGAAUUUAAGGCUAAAGGUGAAGUCCCUGCCUAAUUCCAUCAGUUCGUAAAUAUCAUAACCAGGGGCUAGGUGUUCAAGCCCAGCUCUCUGUUCUCUUCUCCGCCAUGUGUUACUGUGCAGAGAACGAGCCUAGAACUAAUUUAAGCCAUACUUCCUUUCAACAUACGAAUCCAGAUCACAGAGUCAGGAAGGAGAGGCCAUUCUUUCUCUGAUUAACAGAGAUCAGCACCCUAUCACCUACUUCACUGUUAGAUCUUCUUAAUUGCUAAGUUCUUUCUACCAUUUGGCGGACUCUUCCCUUUGGACAACUUUCUUCGCCUCUGCACUGGUGACCUAGCUCCAAAAGCACGCAUGUCUUCUUCCAGAAACCAGAUGUUGGUUCCCAGAUCACCCGCACCCCCCUCAACCCCCCAUCUCUGUUUUCAAGUCAACCAGUUCCUUCAAUGCUUCUUUAUGCAUUCGGGGCAGUGGGCCCUCAAUCUGCUGGAAUUAAUUUAAAGGAGUUAUUUAUGCAGUUGUCGCCAUGAUUUCUUAAAUAUAAUUCUUUCAUGGCCCACCUGAAAUUUCGUACCUGGAACAACAGUCAAAAAAAAAAAAAAAAAAAAAAAAAAAAA